ACGAACGCUGGCGGCGUGCCUAAUACAUGCAAGUAGAACGCUGAAGAGAGGAGCUUGCUCUUCUUGGAUGAGUUGCGAACGGGUGAGUAACGCGUAGGUAACCUGCCUUGUAGCGGGGGAUAACUAUUGGAAACGAUAGCUAAUACCGCAUAACAAUGGAUGACCCAUGUCAUUUAUUUGAAAGGGGCAAAUGCUCCACUACAAGAUGGACCUGCGUUGUAUUAGCUAGUAGGUGAGGUAACGGCUCACCUAGGCGACGAUACAUAGCCGACCUGAGAGGGUGAUCGGCCACACUGGGACUGAGACACGGCCCAGACUCCUACGGGAGGCAGCAGUAGGGAAUCUUCGGCAAUGGGGGCAACCCUGACCGAGCAACGCCGCGUGAGUGAAGAAGGUUUUCGGAUCGUAAAGCUCUGUUGUAAGUCAAGAACGAGUGUGAGAGUGGAAAGUUCACACUGUGACGGUAGCUUACCAGAAAGGGACGGCUAACUACGUGCCAGCAGCCGCGGUAAUACGUAGGUCCCGAGCGUUGUCCGGAUUUAUUGGGCGUAAAGCGAGCGCAGGCGGUUUGAUAAGUCUGAAGUUAAAGGCUGUGGCUCAACCAUAGUUCGCUUUGGAAACUGUCAAACUUGAGUGCAGAAGGGGAGAGUGGAAUUCCAUGUGUAGCGGUGAAAUGCGUAGAUAUAUGGAGGAACACCGGUGGCGAAAGCGGCUCUCUGGUCUGUAACUGACGCUGAGGCUCGAAAGCGUGGGGAGCGAACAGGAUUAGAUACCCUGGUAGUCCACGCCGUAAACGAUGAGUGCUAGGUGUUGGAUCCUUUCCGGGAUUCAGUGCCGCAGCUAACGCAUUAAGCACUCCGCCUGGGGAGUACGACCGCAAGGUUGAAACUCAAAGGAAUUGACGGGGGCCCGCACAAGCGGUGGAGCAUGUGGUUUAAUUCGAAGCAACGCGAAGAACCUUACCAAGUCUUGACAUCCCUUGACGAUGCUGGAAACAGUAUUUCUCUUCGGAGCAAGGAGACAGGUGGUGCAUGGUUGUCGUCAGCUCGUGUCGUGAGAUGUUGGGUUAAGUCCCGCAACGAGCGCAACCCCUAUUGUUAGUUGCCAUCAUUCAGUUGGGCACUCUAGCGAGACUGCCGGUAAUAAACCGGAGGAAGGUGGGGAUGACGUCAAAUCAUCAUGCCCCUUAUGACCUGGGCUACACACGUGCUACAAUGGUUGGUACAACGAGUUGCGAGUCGGUGACGGCAAGCUAAUCUCUUAAAGCCAAUCUCAGUUCGGAUUGUAGGCUGCAACUCGCCUACAUGAAGUCGGAAUCGCUAGUAAUCGCGGAUCAGCACGCCGCGGUGAAUACGUUCCCGGGCCUUGUACACACCGCCCGUCACACCACGAGAGUUUGUAACACCCGAAGUCGGUGAGGUAACCUUUUGGAGCCAGCCGCCUAAGGUGGGAUAGAUGAUUGGGGUG
rnacentral:rRNA from 1 species